AUUAAUGCUCAUGAUUGCAUGUUAGCAAGACAGCAUCUCCCCAAGGUGAAACUCUCAGGAGACAUUUACUCUUAAACUGUAAUCUGGUUGAGACUACUUGAGGAGAUCUUAGUAGCGAGUAUGUGGAUUUAGUCUCUUCACCAACAGCAGACAGACCCAUGCCAAGAAAGCAGACAUGUUCUCAAAGAAAGCCGAGAGCAGAGAUUGGAAAAAGCUAAAAAGAAAAAGCUGCAGCUUCAGACGACUAUCUGCCUAUGUUGACUGUGACCUCAGAGGCCAACUGGACCACACAGCUGCAGCAGGAGUGAGGGAGAGGAGUCUUCAUCCAGCUUCAAAGAAAACAUCCAGUUAGAAACCCUGCAGCAACCCGACC